rnacentral:rRNA from 1 species
AACGUAGGACGCAAGCGUUAUCCGGAGUUACUGGGCGUAAAGCGCGAGCAGGCGGCUCGACAAGUUCGAUGUGAAAGCGCCCGGCUCAACCGGGCGAGGCCAUUGGAAACUAUCGAGCUGGAGGGCAGUAGAGGCAGGCGGAAUUCCCGGGUGGAGUGGUGAAAUGCGUAGAGAUCCGGAGGAACACCAGAGGCGAAGGCGGCCUGCUGGGCUGCACCUGACGCUGAGCCGCGAAAGCCAGGGAGCGCAACGGG